GAUCUUGAACCAGCGACUUCACUGUGUCUUGGAGGACGUUGUCCGAGAGGAUGGGAGCGAUUCCAAGACAAGUGCUUUCUGGUGGUCAACAUCAGUUACAGCUGGGAUAACGCAGAUUACCUAUGUGAGAGUUUGAGUUCCAGUCUGGCUUCAGUCCACAGUCUGAAGGAGUACAGCUUUCUGCAGCAGUUGGUCUGGAGGUCUCGUUUUGUAUCCGCCUGGAUCGGUGGAUACAGAUUCAAGAACUUCUGGAGGUGGGACGAUGCCACACCAUUUGAUUACAACAACUGGUUUUCCCACAGCACCAGUUCCAGCUAUGAAUGUGUGUACCUGAACAGUCAAGAUAAUAAGGGUUGGGCCAAUGGUGGCUGCUCCUCAGCAUUUCCAUUCAUCUGCUCAUUUAAACGCAACUGCUGCU